GUAUUAAAAACUAUGCUCUUGGGAUAACUAGUACUCCCUCCGUCCCAUAGUUAGUAUCGCAACUUUGUCUAGAUACGCAUGUACCUACACACUAAAAAGCGUCUGGAUACAUGCGUAUCUAGACAAAAUUGUGACACUUAAUAUGGGACGGGGAGGGAGUAACAAA
rnacentral:pre_miRNA from 1 species